rnacentral:rRNA from 1 species
CCUACGGGGGGCUGCAGUGGGGAAUAUUGCGCAAUGGGCGAAAGCCUGACGCAGCGACGCCGCGUGAGGGAUGAAGGUCUUCGGAUCGUAAACCUCUGUCAGCAGGGAAGAACGGUCACUGUGCUAAUCAGCAGUGAAUUGACGGUACCUGCAAAGGAAGCACCGGCUAACUCCGUGCCAGCAGCCGCGGUAAUACGGAGGGUGCGAGCGUUAAUCGGAAUUACUGGGCGUAAAGCGCUCGUAGGCGGUAUGUCAAGUCAAGGGUGAAAUCCCCGCGCUCAACGUGGGAACUGCCUUUGAAACUGGCAAACUGGAGUGUGUGAGAGGAGAGUGGAAUUCCAGGUGUAGGAGUGAAAUGCGUAGAUAUCUGGAGGAACAUCAGUGGCGAAGGCGACUAUCUGGCACAUAACUGACGCUGAGGAGCGAAAGCGUGGGUAGCAAACAGGAUUAGAUACCCGGGUAGUC